UGCAUAUCGCCUCAGGCCCUCAACACAUCGCUCAAGCAAAGAAAUUCAUGAUAGCCAUCUCCAUCUACAGGUAAUCCUAAGGUUUUUAUUUCUUAUAAACUCAUGAUCUUACUGAAACAAACCUUUGAUCACAUAGUCACUGGUAGGAUUUUGGGGUCAAGUUAUGUUAACUAAUUAAAAAAGUAUUUAUUUUCGGAACCAUGUGAAGUUUCUAGGUUUCACAAUUUAGUUCUUAAUUUAUAUUUUCUUGUAGGUUUUACUGGAUUCAUCUCAUCCUACAAAUAUUUUGAUUCCCAGGUAUUCAAACAAUUGUGACGAUUUGUGAUUUUAUGAAAGUAUUUUUUUUCUGUAUUUACUAAGUGUGUUUACACCUGCUAGUGUACCUGGACUAUUUGGCUCUGGUUCAACAAAAUCAAUGUAAGAGUUAUGAGUAAUAAUAAUUUUACCUGUAUGACUGUGACUUUUCUGGGAAUUGGGAUCAUUGAGUCAAUACCUGUGAUCUUAGAGGCCUUUGUAUUUCCUUCUUUGUCCAUACCUGCUAGUACAUUAGGCAUAGAGGGAGGAUCUUGGGAUAUAGGGGUUGGUAACACAGAAUAUUCCCCUAAGAGUUAUGAGUAAUAAUACUGUUGGACUAAUUUGGUUCAACAAGAUCAAUAUAAGAGUUAUGAGUAAUAAUAUUUUUACAUGUAUGACUGUGACUUUUCUGGGAAUCUAUUUGAUCCAUCUGUUCUUCAGGUGUCUUAGGUCUUUCCUCAUUGUUUGUAUUGUUUUUGUUAUUCUUUUUUUGAAUUUGCCACUAUUCUUCCUGCUGAUUGGGCUCUUCUUCUUGGUAAUGAUGCUGGCUUGAAUCUAUCUGUGAUGUUGUAUUAUUUUUCCUAUCAGUCAACUGCAUAUUCUGUUGUUCAUUUCUUAGUUGAUCACCCUUAUUAGGUCGUACACGACAUGAUUAUGAUUUUUAGGCAGUCAUAGGAUCGGGAGACUAUGGUUUAGCCCAAAAAAGGAUUAUUAUUACUUGUUAGAUGAUAUGCCACUAGUCUGAAAGAAAGUCCAGAGGACUAAAACGUCAUGGCUCUUAAUUAAUAUUCAUAUGCUUACAUAGGAAUACAUGAUUUUUCGAAUUAUUAAAGGGGAAAUAGAAACUUGAUGAACACUCCAAGAUGCAAAAAUGAACACCACAUGGCUAUUGGCUACAGUUUAAACAGAACAAUAGUUGCAGCUAAUUACCCUGUUAUUAGUAUGUUAAGCAUGACAGUGGCACCUACCGCAAUUCCCACAAGCUCUCCCUCCUAUAGUUUGGCCUAUGUUUUCCCAGUGGGUGCCUUAUCUUCAUGAUGAUUUUUGCCUGUACCUGGACUAUUUACUGAUCUGGUUCAACAAGAUCAAUACAAGAGUUAUGAGUAAUAAUAUUUUUACCUGUAUAACAGUGACUUUUCUGGGAAUCUGCCUGAUCCAUCUGUUCUUGAGGUGUCUUAGGUCUCUCCUCAUUGUUUGUAUUGUUUUUGUUAUUUCUUCUUUUUUUGUAGUUUUGUCCACUGUUCUUCCUGCUGAUUUGGCUCUUCUUCUUGGUAAUGAUACUGCCCUCUCCAGACCCAACUUAUGAGAUUGCACCGGAUAUAUUUUUGUUGUUGUAAUAAAUAAACAAACCACUAUAUAAUAAGGAUCUACUUACAAAUUAAAUAGGGGUGUGUGAUUUUUUUCCAGUUAACAAUUAGCCAAGUAAGAGUAGAAAAAACGCAGAGUAAAUGCUUACAGCUCUAGAAAGAGGAUUAAAUUUUAUUGUAUACCUCUAUGCAAGCUGUUAUGCGCAUAUUGAGUUGUGCUUAGGCUUUCAAAUUCUUUUAGUUAGAUUCUGGAUGAAUAUCUGCAACAAUACCUCAUCCAGUUACUCUAUGUUCUGGACCUCUAAUUCAUUCACCAAAUAGUUUGGAUCUGAGAUGUAGUAGUUGAUUGGUUGAUCUUGAAAUAGCUGUGCUAGUAAUUCUAGUUGCUGACCAUUAUAUUGCAUUCUGUUAUGUGGCUAAAAGCUGCUUCUUUUCCGAUAUUAACAAGCUAGAUUCAUUGGAGUGGUCAAGCAAACUUGAAAUUUAGUGCUUCUCCCAUCAUUUUUUUCUUCCCCCAUAUUUAAUUGAAAGCAAAGAGGGUAGGAUGAUGUUUGUGUAUGUGCCUUCAUAAGCAUACAUGUUUCUCGUGGUGAUAAAACUAUCUUUUUUAUGCAGCAAACUUUAAGUAGAAACACCCUCUUUUUCUCAUGUUUACAAUAGUUUUAGUUGAAUUCAGGUGCACAAAGGAAGAUAUCAAGUUUUUUAACCCUGUCCCAAAACUUAAGAACUUUCUUUCCAACUUCAGCACCAACAGUUUUCCGCUUCUCACCCAUUUUGACAUUGUCAACAACAGCCUCUUUAGGAACUUUAAAGCAACCCUUCAACCCCAUCUUGGACCUGCUCCUUUUUUCUUCUUCAUGUUUCAGUAGCUGCUCAUAAUACUCAUUGUUCCUCCUCUCCUAUCCAUAUAUCUGACGUUGAAGAUCCUCAACUUUUCGACUAAGCACGUAAACUCUAUGAUCCUCCCUUCUGGUUAGCAUGAACCUUGCAAGCUCAGCUACCUUUAUCUUCACGAAUAAAUACUGUGAAGACAACCCCUUAUUCUCCUCCAUCAAUGAAGCCAUUUUGUAUCCUAAUCUCGCGUUCUCAUUUAACAAGAUCAACCUCUCUUAUUCCAACAACUCCAAUAAGUUUUCCUGCAACUCUAUCUUCAUUGAUGACUCGUUGCAAUGCUUGUUGACUAGACUAAACUCGUGCAUGAUGAUUUCACAAUUGACACUUCUGAUCACCAAGUCUGCAAUGAUCAUGUUUGGUUCAAAUUUGACUUGUGUGGAUGGAAAUGAAGGCUGAUAUGAUAAUGAACUCUCAGCAUUAGAAUCAACAAUAUCCGAUCCAUUGUUCUCUUCCUUGUCAAAUUGAUCAUCAUUAUCAUGAUCAAAAUGGGAGGAUGGAAUUUGGAAGGAAUUUCGACGAUGAUGGUUCUUGACAAGUGCUUGGCAAUAGCAGUCUGCCAAAGAGAGAUAGUUGUCAUACAAUUCUUGAAGUAAGGCCAGAAGCUGUGGCCAUUUCUGGUAGUAAGCAUCAAUGCGUUCUGUAAAACUGUCAACAUCAUCUUUAUUAGGAACGUUCACAACCAAUUUCUUCAUUUUCUUGUCCAAAUCUGAAGAAAAGACCACAAUCCAAUCCAAAUCCAGUCAAAUAGAUAUAUGAUAUUGACUUGACAAGUGAAGCAUUUGAAAAUUUGAGUUCUACACAUUUUUGUCUUUGCUUUCCUUGAAGGUGUAAUUUGAUUGCCCCUUAUGUUAUAUAUAGUAUUCAGCCUCAAGUGAGAUUGGUGAUCUUAGUCUUAUGCUUUACUUUUUUUCUUCUUUGAUAAUUAUACCUUCCAAAAUUGCCUUGAUAAAGUUCUCAAACUUAUGCUUUACUCUUGGUCUGCAAAAUUUACUCACAGUUUUUUUGGAUUUUUGGGAUGAAAAUUCAAGUUGACCUUUUUUUUACCAAGGUAUGGGGACAUAUAUAAGUAUGAAGGGAUCACUUCAAGUGAUUUGAGUUGGGUCUUUGAGGUUUAAAGUUUAUCAAUAUUGAUGAGCAUGCUCACAUUUUUGGGUUGGAAAAACUGAUGAUUUUCUAGGAAAUUGCAACACUCCAAAAAAAAUUUGAACUAAGACUCGAACCGUUUUUCGUAGUGAGUGAGAUUUUUGCAAGAAAGUUAAAAUUUAUUGAGUAUUAAGGUUACUAGAUGUAGCACCUUGAGUUCCAAAAAGAAUCGAAUUGGAAAUAGCAAAAUCUGAAUUUGGAGAGUUAAGUUAAGUAUGAGUUAUGGUUCAACUUCAAACGACCAUAACUCCUAGCUGAGGAUGAUUUAAGUGUGCUACCAAAUAUCGUAGGAAAUACCUCUGAAUUAUCUUUCCAACGCCACCGAGUUUUUUCAGUUUCGAGUUUGUAUGAGGGAGAUAUGUGCAUUCGAAGUUGGGCUGUCUAGAUAAGGAAAGUCAAAACCAGGUUUUAGAGGGGUAUUUUGGUCUUUUCCUAACCAAAUCGGAUUUAAUUCGUUUUUAGUAAUAUUUUAGGGGUAUAAUCUGAUUAGGUUCAGUUUUAUAAUCCUAGUUUACGCCUAGGGUUUUAGUUGAUAGUUCAAAAAGAGAAAAGAAGAAGAGAGAAGAGGAGAAAAGAGAAAGGAUUGAAGCGUUCGUCGAAAUUCUUGAGAGUUGUUGCGGAUUGUCACCAUGGGUUUGAUCCCUAAGAGGUAUGUAAGCUUCCAUAGUGUUGGGUUAGUUCACCCACACGCCAAUCAUGUUAUUUUCAGCGAAAUUUCAUUGUUGAAGUUGAAAGAUUAGAGUUCUUGAUAGGUGUUGUUGAAGUUCAUUUUAAAUCUUGUUGUGUUGAGGUUUUGAUGAUUUCUUGAGAUGAAAUUUAGCAAUUUGAGUGUUUUUUUGAGUAUAUUAGAGUGUACUUAUGUUAAGUAAUUGAAUCCAAGUGAUUGGGGAAGAAACCGUUCGAUUCUAGGCGAAUUAGGGUGAGAAAACGAGCAAAGAAUUUCGUCGGAUUUUCUGGGUUAGGGCCUGGUGCGAUGCGCCAGCCAGAACACCCCAAACCCUCCUCUGAAGUUUAGGAGCUGGCGCCCCGCGCCACCCAUAGCUCCAGGGUCGCCUGCCUCAUCCAGUUUGUCGUCGGUUGCCCCGUUUCAGUUCGUUUAAAGUGCACCUUCACUCCUUUUCGAUUCUAACUACUCUAAGCUACUUCUAAACACCUAGAAAUCAUUCAUAACAUGAUAAUAACCUUGAAUUAUUAUUUCAAAUUCAAGGUAGAGAUAAGAUUUAAGUUUUGAGAAUUUUUUCGAACAUUCUAAGAAAGUCCCUUUGAGUUCUUUUGUGGAGUCUUCUACAACCUCUAGUAACUUGUUUCAAGACUCAAGUAAGUGCGAAUGAGAGUGAGGAGAAUGUAUUCAUAAGUCUACACUAUCACCUAGAUUCUUCAUAGAAUGAACCAUAACUCUUGAAUUCGUAAUUCACAUUCAAGAGGGAGUUAAGAGUAGAUUUCAAGAAAGUUUUUGAGUUCGAUUGUGAAUCCUUUGAGAUCAACUAUUGAUUUGAACUAAGUUUUGAGGAAGUAAGUAAGAUAAUGAGAAGAGUUGUAUCAUGAGUUCCAUAAUGUUAUGUAGACCUACGAGUCAAGUCAUUCAUGCCAUUAAAUUCCGCAUGAACUCCAGAAGUUGAGUAUCUAUGAGAGGAGUAAUAUCUCCAAGUUCUAAGCCUUUAAGUGUUGAGUUCCUAAUCCAUUUUGAGAAAUAUCUUUGAGUCCUUGAGUUGAACAUUUCAUGCCCAUAAUCCCGCAUGAACAUUAUAAGUAGAACAAUCUUGAGAUGAGUAGUAUCAUUGAAGUUCUUAAGUUCCAAGUAUUGAGUUAUAUCUAUGGUUAUUGAAAACCUGGCAUUGAGUCGUUCGUGUCCAUCAAUCGGCAUGAAACAUAUUUUAAGAAGUCUUUUGCAAAUGUUUAAACUUCGUUUUAAGACUUAAGUUUUGAGUUCAGUAAAGAGUAAAGUUGAAGUUCAUUUCUUCAAAAGUAUAUAGGGACUAUGUNNNNNNNNNNNNNNNNNNNNNNNNNNNNNNNNNNNNNNNNNNNNNNNNNNNNNNNNNNNNNNNNNNNNNNNNNNNNNNNNNNNNNNNNNNNNNNNNNNNNNNNNNNNNNNNNNNNNNNNNNNNNNNNNNNNNNNNNNNNNNNNNNNNNNNNNNNNNNNNNNNNNNNNNNNNNNNNNNNNNNNNNNNNNNNNNNNNNNNNNNNNNNNNNNNNNNNNNNNNNNNNNNNNNNNNNNNNNNNNNNNNNNNNNNNNNNNNNNNNNNNNNNNNNNNNNNNNNNNNNNNNNNNNNNNNNNNNNNNNNNNNNNNNNNNNNNAACAUAUGAGCUAAGUACGUUUUGGGAGUAGUAUUGAGCACCGAUAUGGGGGAGAGUUCAGACAACUCACAGCCCCUAUAAACCAUGUAGCCUUCAUGGGUAGAAAAGGGUCAUACUUUUUAGAUGAACCUUUUUCGAAAUAGACUAGUGGAUCCAUUAGGCAGUUCAGGUUCUAUACCUUUGGCCCGGUAUAGAAUGCUCUGGCAGCGUGAGGUUGAUCGCUGUAUCAUCACUAUAGCUCUUAUGUGAUGGUUGUCGGUUAGAGAAACUCCCACAGAAGUUAUUGUAUUCUUAUUUACACAGCUAUUUGUAUUUUUUUCAUACAUUUCGGAGUUAUGUUGUAUCCUUGCACACACACACAGUUGACAACAUAUUUUUACACAGUUUGUUUCUUUAUAUUGCACUUGUUUUAAAUUGCUUUGUAUUGAAAUGAGUUCAGUCAUAUUGAGUUGAGUAUCCAGAGUUGAGUACCCAGAGUCGAAUACCAUAUCUUUGAGUUGAGUAUCUAAUCUCUAAGUUGAGUAUCUUAUACUUGAGUACUUCUGAGUUGAGUAAGUUUGAGUUAGUUUUGAGUAUCCUUGAGUAUACCUCUGAGUUGAAUAUCUUAUUAUUGAGUUGAGCUAUGUUUCUUUUGAGUUGAGUGAGUUGAGAAGAGGUAAGUAUGUUUCCUUUUUAUCAAAGUUCAAGCUUAUGUUUAUGCUUUAGAAUUCCUCUUACAUGCUCGUACAUUCCCCGUACUGAGCCAUUUGGCCUGCAUCUUUUCAUGAUACAGACAUGGGUAUUCAGGGUCAUCAACAGGAGCGUCGUUGAUACAUCCAGAAGUUUGAGUUAGCUAUGGUGAGCCUCCUUGUUUCCAGAGGAUUUCAUUUACUUUUUAGCUUAGUCAGGAUGUCGUGGGUCUUGUCCCGACUUCUAUCUUUAACAGUUAGAGGCUUCAUAGAUAGUCGGUAUAGUUGAAAAGUUUGUAUCAUUUAUUUUGUUAAAUGUUUAAAGACUUAAGUUGCCUAUUUUAUGACGAGUUGAAUAUUAUUUUUAUAUUCAGAGUUUUUCAUUUGAGUUAAAGUUUUGUAUUUCAGUUUCAUGAAUUUUUAUUCAGUUUUAAGCUUUUGCAUGCUUAAGUUAGUCUUCCGCUUGUAGUCAGCCAGAAUGAGGGUUCUCUUGGGGACCAGCAAUGGUUCUUGAGUGCCAUCCACGUCCAGGGUGUAGACUCGGGUUGUGACAGAAAUGGACAUGGAUAAGUCAGAAGAAACAUCAUAGGAAGUUUUGAACUUUCAUAGAACUUCUUCAUAUGUUGUUCUGACGUUUCUUGAUGCCAAGCCCAAGCAAAGAUCUCGUAAGUGGUACAAUAGAUAUUUAAAAUGACUCGACCUAGCCCCUAGGAGAGGAUUAUUCGAUUAUUGGAUGUACUCUUAUUGAGAUUUCUCAUAAAGAUUCAAGUUUGAACCAGACUAUAAAAUGAAAUUGUUUGAACUGCUAUAGAGUAAAUGUCAUAGUUUGGUUCAAUGAAAUUCCGUAAACAUCACUGUCCAAUGAAAUUACUUCAUCAUUGUCUGUAAACAUCAAUAGAAGUUCAUUGUCUGUAAACAUCAUUGUUGUACUGCUACAGAGACGGACAAAAUGUCAUAGUCUGGUUCAAUGAAAUUACUUCAUCAUAUGUUGGUAAGAUUAUUACGACAUGAUGUUUACGGAACUUCUAUUGCGUUUAAUGUUUGAACUGCUACAGAGUAACUAGGAAAGUCAUGUCUUUUUCCUAUGGGGAAGUAUCAAGCAGGAUACCAAAAUUCUGGUAUUGUGUAGCUUCGACUCUUAAAGAUCCCCUGCUUUGCUAGAAGUGCACUUUGCUGAAGUCCUUAAAGCUGAAAUGUUAAGUUUUUUAUUUCGUAAAGUAUCAAAAUAAUGAGUUUAAUGUUUUUUCUCAGGCUAACAUGAUCAAGAAGACUGGAACUACCGUAGUUGGCACAAAUAAAAAGAAGUGGGCAUGUUUGAAAAAACUACAAGAUCUUUCUUUUCUGUCAAAAGGAGGAAAAUUUCAUGUAUAUAAUUUUUGCUUUUGCAUCAAUUCCUAAAUAUGUUUGUUUUUAGAAAAAUACAAUUAGUCAUUUCUGAUAUCCCAAUUUGUUCUAGUUAAUGGGGAUCUAAUUUCUAUUAUUAUAUAGUUAUAAAUUUUCUUAUGUGCAUUUCUUGUGCAGAAUUUUUAAGGAAAUUGAGGUCAAGUAUCAACUUCAACAUGCUCGACUUUUGGAUUGAUGAUUUCAUAAAGAUUUAUUGCAAAUUUAUUGGAGAUUUUAAUUCCAUUUGAA
rnacentral:lncRNA from 1 species